GGGCCUGUAGCUCAAUGGUUAGAGCCGGCCGCUCAUAACGGUCUGGUUGCAAGUUCGAGUCUUGCCGGGCCCACCA
rnacentral:tRNA from 1 species